rnacentral:rRNA from 1 species
UACGAAGGUGGCGAGCGUUACUCGGAAUUACUAGGCGUAAAGGGCAGGUAGGUGGUUUGAUAAGUCUGUUGUGUAAACUCCCGGCUUAACUGGGAGAGGUCAACGGAUACUGUCAGGCUUGAGUAUAGGAGAGGGUACUGGAAUUCCCGGUGUAGCGGUGAAAUGCGCAGAUAUCGGGAGGAACACCAAUGGCGAAGGCAGGUACCUGGACGGAUACUGACGCUGAGACGCGAAAGCGUGGGGAGCAAACAGG